AGAGACAGCAGUAGCCACGGUAAUACGAAGGGGGCUAGCGUUGUUCGGAUUUACUGGGCGUAAAGCGCACGUAGGCGGAUCGAUCAGUCAGGGGUGAAAUCCUGGAGCUCAACUCCAGAACUGCCUUUGAUACUGUCGAUCUCGAGUCCGGAAGAGGUGAGUGGAACUCCUAGUGUAGAGGUGGAAUUCGUAGAUAUUAGGAAGAACACCAGUGGCGAAGGCGGCUCACUGGUCCGGUACUGACGCUGAGGUGCGAAAGCGUGGGGAGCAAACAGGAUUAGAUACCCCGGUAGUCCCUGUCUCUUAUAA
rnacentral:rRNA from 1 species